AACUGCCCCGCCCGCCUGUCCGGUGACGCAGCCUUCAUCUGCUCAUUUCCCAGCGUGUUGUGUUUUUGCUUGGCGCGCACUCUCUCUGAUCUUGUCCUGGCGAGGGAGAAGUGUCUAGCGGUGUGCGGGAAGUUUCGGGCCUGCACUUCAUCCGAGUCGAUCUGUGUGACUGGCUGCUGACGACGAACAGCAGAGACCAGCGUUGUUGCACUGUAUCCUAUAUAUAUAUAUAUACACGUAUCCUAGAUUCUAUAGAGAAAGGGGGCGAAGGGGAAGUUGGUGGUGGCAUACGCAGCGGACGAAUCAGCGGCGGCGUACUCCUGCCCACGCCAUCAUUAGGUGCACCACCACACACACACACACACAAACAGACCUCCUUCCUUCCCACUCCCAUACAUUGCACACAUCGCGCAGGUCUGCUGGCGCAUCAAGCAGCCAUUCCUCGUCUUCGCUCCGCCUUACGUGGCCUUCGAGCUUCCUUUGUUGGUGUCUGUUUAGCGUCUCGGAUCAUCGCGAUUUGUCUUUUCAUCGUCGUUGUCCUCGCCACCGCCACGCCCUGUCUCCCCUCUUUCGUCAGUGUCUCAUCUCUGCGCCAUCUGGCCCUCGUCUUCGCAUCGGCGCUCCCUCUCCCUCUCACUUCCGCACCCUCACGCACACGCGGCGGCGGUAUCCCUCGAUCUGCUGUUCCGCUGCGCCUGCGUCCCUCGCGUGCGUUUCGCGUUGCUCUCCUCCGCCCUUUCCUCUGCUACAGACACAGAGAUCUGUCGAUUGCCCACGCAGACUGACAGACGCACAAGCAAAGACGGGAUAGGCUGCUGUCGCUGGGGCUGCAGCCCGUUGUUGCUGCCAUCUUUUACUCUGUUCCUCUCUCGCUGGCUACGCCACUCACCCCUUCCCCGCCCGAUCAGCCAUGAUGGACAUCACCAUCGGCUCGCCUUCGUCGUCUUAUCGCAGCCGCAGCCGCAGCAGUCGCGGCUAUACCCAGCGCCCUGACCUUGCUCGCGAUGCGGCUGGUAGCGGUGACAGCAGCGCUGCCGGCCAGGAGACGGAGCUGUUGACAGGUGCAGCGGGGCUGGACGACACAGACGGAGGCGAAGGCCACCACGCUCGUUGCAGCCCAGCAGACUCACAUGGCGGCUUUGAGGCAGACUAUAGUGACCUAGACCACAGGGCAGCGGGCGCGAGUCGAUCACCGCCUUCGUUAGGCGAGAGGGAGGAGACGUGCAGACCACCGCCGCCGAACACCAGCGCGGCACCGGCGCCGCAGCGCCACGUGGCCGACGAGCUCGUUCACGCUUUGCCGAACCGUGAGUCGAUGUCGCCGGCUCAGAUGGCACCGUCGUCGAUCCCGUUCUCAGCGCCGCUGCCGUCCUCUUCGUCAUCCGUGGCUGGCAGUGGCGGUGCGGCGCACCUGCCCCCUCGUCGUGCACCACAGCUGCUGCCACACGAUCGCCUGCACAGCCGCGUGGAGGGGAUGGCGUGGCUUUGCUCUGCAGCUGACCGUGAUCGGGCCCCGGCGCCGAUCCCACGGACGUCUGUCAGAACUUCAUGUGCCGCGGAAGAGCGCAAGUGCACCGAUGAUGCAGUGGGCGUGCGUGGACCCAGGUCCUCCUCGCUGGAGGCGCAGGCAAGAGCGAGUGAACCGACUGCCGUCGCCGCUGCCGCACCCGUCACAAGAUGGCCAGAGCGACAAGAGCAGGUGAUCCCCCGCGCCUUUGCCCGCACGGAGAGCCCGUCACCGCUGCGCCGCGCUGCGCAGACGGAGCUGGCAACCGGCAAUGCUGAGCGCAACGCCGCUACUGAGGCCUCUCCCGACACGGAAGUAUCCGGUGCCCGCUGUGGUCCGCUUAGGAAGCUCGCACUGCUCUCUUUUUGCAGUGAUGGCGGCCAGGAGGUGAUGGACCACCGGCCACGCUCUGAGCGCGCGUUACGGCUUGCACGCGUGAGCAACACGGUGACUCUGUCGUCGCCACCAGCGUUCUCGUCUACGUCCACCUCCGCUGUGCCGCUCCCUGGAUCGCCGCCGUUGUCAAGCGCCUCCUCCGCUUCCGUUCCAAUGCAACAGCAGCGGCUGCGACUGCCGUCACACUCGCCUGAAUCGGUGAGUUCCGCGUCCCUCUCGCGUGCGGUGGUACGGCGGGAGUCACUGAGCGGGGCGAGUGUGACAGCCGCGACGUCCUCCGACAGCUACGAUCGCGGCGAGGUCCAUGACCAUCAUUGCAGCCGUCGGCAACGGUCCGACUCCCGCUAUCGCGCCAUCGGCGACGUGGAUGACGACGAUGGCACCACCAGCAGCUCGCCCGGCCUCACCGAGACGAACGGCGCACGACCGCCGUCGCAUGCACCGGCGCCGCUUCACCCAUCCUCUUUCCUGACGCAGGCGCUGCCGCACGCGUGCCGGAGCUCGCAGAGCAGCAGCGACAGCGCCAAAGAGUGCCGCCCGGGCGAGGCGCAGCGGGCCGAUGCGGCGCGGCAGGCGCUCGACUCAUCGCAAGCAUCAUCACCGGCGCCGUCUCCACUAGCGUCGCGCUCUCCCUCGUUGAGCGCGCCGCCGUCCGCGCAGCUACCACCUCGGCGCACCGUCGAGGAGACUCGUAGGGAUAGCAGCAGCGAUGGGGACGGCAGCGGCGCGGCGCGGCGAAUUCCGCGUCACGGCACGUGCCCUGUCAUGACGGAGGUAGCUGAGUUGCAGCUUCCUCUAGCCGCACCAACGGAGGCCGCUGUGGGCUGCGGCGGUAGUGGUGCGGCGGCAGUCGCUGGCGAAAGCCCUCCACCGCUUCCACCGGCCCCGUGGGUAGCCGGCGAUGGCGCAUCGUCCCUCCACCCAAGUCGUCGUGGGAACGACCGCCACAGCAAGAGCAGUGCCACUGGCGCACACGGCGUCGUGCUCCAGGCUGCAGCUUCUGAGGCCGACAUGGCCAACGAAGCUCGUGCAGGCGACGACGUGGCGCGGGCGUCUCGUGAGCGUAGAGAGCUCCCCGCUACAGCUUCCCUCAGGGACGGCGUUGCUGCCGCUCUGGAGUUGGACGGAGCACGUCGUGGUGCCGCGCCACCAACUGAUGCUCCACGCCAUGUUAAGCCGCCGCCGCCGCCUCAACGGCGAGCGCUGGAUCGGUGGCGCAGUCAGGCAUCUCUAGUCGGCGGCCGCGCUGCUGACACCGCCGCACUCUCGUCUUCCUUGCGAGUCGUCACGCCUUCCUCGCGGGGCUCCGCCGCGGGGCAAGUGACUGAAUGUGGCGAUGGCCAUCCAUCCCAGUCAGCCCGCGAAUGUGGCGAAACGGGGAAAAGGCCGUUCAGGGGUGGCGUCAACGUUGCGCGUUGGGUGCGCGGCACUGUCGGCUGCGAGGCCGGCCUUUCCGGGGCCUCGCUGAUACCGCCGCCGGCCCGCAAAGCUGCUGAGGCGCGCGUGUGCGCACCUCCCACAAACUUCGGGAGCGCGAGCACAACUAACGCCUCAGGCGCCGCGGGCAACUUUUGUGGCAGCGAGCCACUCCGUGUGCUGGCGGCCCCGCUCGCCCCGCUCCCUCAUCGCACGCCGCCACGCGAGGCGGUGGCGCCCUCUGUCCUCGCUGAGGUGACGCAGAGCUGUGCAUCAGCAGCGCUUGUGUCGGGGAGGCAAGCUUAUCAAGGUGUGGCCGCGCUUUCGUGGACGCUGUCGUCGCGUUCGCGCGUGCGGCUGACGGUCAUCACAUCAUCGGCGCAGGAGCGCCGGGCGAACAAGGCUGAGGGUGAGUCGGCCGUGGGAGGCGCCGCGCAAGUCGACCCGCGUGAUCGGAGUAGCGGUGCCCGAUGGCGUGAAGCGGGCAGCGCUGACGAGGCUUUUCUUGUGCGCAGCGGCGACGCACGCCGCGGUGAAAUGGCUGCGGUGCCGCAGCACGCUCACCCGCUGCGGAGUUCCUCGAGUGGGCAGCGUGCAUCACGCCGAGGGCUCGCGGCGGUGUUGGCGCAACGGGCUGCCGCCAUGUGCAGCUCGGCGAGCAGCGCGGUGGUGGACGGCGCCGAUGAAGACGAGGAGACGCGAAUCGUAGCGCGCACGUGGCGGCCCGCCACGUGUCUCGAGUUUGUGCGCGACGAUGCCCGUCGGCGCAGCACCGGGGACGAUUGCCAGAGCAGCUGGGGCGCAGCUGGAGCGCAUCGUUGGGGGCAGGGGCCGCACCAUUCGCGAGCGACGCAGAGGUCGGCAGCAGUAGCCGGUGCGCCGUCCGGCGGUCAUCAAACAAGGACAGCCAAUCACCCUCACGACGGCUCACAUGGCCCUGUGCUGUCGAUCGAGGCAUCGCCCCUUGUCUCACCCGUAUCGUUGGCAGCCGAGGCGACCUCUGAUGUGGGUGCGAGCGCGCGCCAGGCGUGCUCUGCAGCUACGUGGCGGGCCGGUGCCGCCUCUAAUGGUGUUGGUGGAGGUGUUCUCUCAAGUACGACGUUGGUGCCUGGAUACGCUGCUGUGUACAGCCCUUGUAUGCUUGCCACACGGGUGCUGGAGGCGCGCAAGGCCCUCUUGGGAACCCCCAGCGCCGCUGUCCCCGCUGCAGCAACGAGCGUCUGUCCUCCCGGACCGUCUGGUGCACUACCUCUGCAUUGCGGCAGUCGCGCCAUGCCGGCGGUGGGGGCCACCGUUGCUGCUGCUGCUACCAGUGGUGGCGUGCCGUCGUGGUCUCCUUCUUCGCUGCUGAGCCCACCGCAGGCUUACAUUGACUUGAAGGAGCGAAACGCAGAUGAUGGCGUGGUGCCAGCGGCGGCGCCCGAUGCCGCGCCGUGGAGCCUCUACCUGAGCGGAUCGCCGGAUGCCGAGGAAUCGAUGCGGCACCGUGCAGCGCUGCCUCGGCAGCUAACACGAGGGCAACAGCACCUGCACGAGCAACCGGAAUUGCCAGCGGACAAGUCUCCCUAUCCGGUGGCGCGACGCAUCCCAUUCGGGUUCGCUGCCGGCACUCUUGCAGGGGCCACAUCUGCGCAAGCCGUAUUGCCUUCGCCUGACGAGCGCCUGCGAAGCUGUCACUCGAGGACGGCUUCACCGGCAGAGGACGCCUCUGCAUCAGUCCCCGGGGCGCACCUUCACGCCGAGGGUGGCUACCAGCGCGCGAGGAGGCUGCCCUGCCACACACCCGCCGAGGAACAACACAGCGUCACAGCUUCGGCGCCCAGCAGCCCAAUCGUGGCCCAAUCAGCGGCGGCGUCUGCUGCGGCUCCGUUAGGACGCAUGCCCACAACAUUAUCCCCCACCACCGCACCUUCCUCCGCUCCUCGUGCAAGUUCGGCGGAUACGGCGCAGGGCCGACACCGAAGCAUUCCGCCGCCGGAAUACCACGCCGUAAUCCAUGCUGCUGGCGCUGGAUCGCGGGCCAGUGAACGAGCGCGCUCGACAUCAAGGCGCUUCUGGAUAGCGGCAACGAAUGCCGACCAGAGCCACGAUGCGCUUGAUGUGCGCCAGAAGCGCCAGGCACACAUACUCGCCCAGCAGCGGCUCAUCCAAGAGGAGGCGUUCCGCCGUCGCUACAUCAGCAUGCAAGAGGAUCAUUGCUUUGCGGUUGAGGUGGCGGAGCUCAACUACCAGCGUGCCGUGGAAUACGUUCAUCAAGCGUCAGCCGCCGGCGCGGUCGCGACACCUGCUCGGCGGAGCGGCCACUGUGCUGCUCUCUUGACGGCCGGUUGCGACGCAGGGCCGCUGGUGGGUCUCCAGCGGGUACGGUGCGAUCAGGCAGCCAUGACGGCUACGCUGAGCACGCUUGCGAAGGAGCUGGCUGCACUGUCGCCGUAGCGCGAUGCGAGACGUAUCGAGCGCAUGCCAGUGGGGUGCUGGGCAACACUUGGCGGCGCGUGGCUCUUUCUCACUGGUUUGGGCACGCCCACGCUGUGGGUGUGUCGGUGUCUGCCCUGCCGCUCUCUCUCCUGAUCUCUCGUCCUGGCAACAAC
rnacentral:misc_RNA from 1 species